CUGAUCUGCCCUAUGAGAAUUAAUGGCCGCGGUAUUUUAACCGUGCAAAGGUAGCAUAGUCACUUGUCUCUUAAUUGGAGGCUUGAAUGAAGGGUUGGACGAAAUAUAAACUUUCUUUAUUAUAUAAAGUUGAAUUUGACUUUUGAGUCAAAAGGCUUAAAUUUAUUUAUAGGACGAGAAGACCCUAUAGAAUUUUAUAUUUUUAUACAAGUAGCUUAUUUAUUAAUGAUGAGGCUUUUUAUAUAAAAAUAUUUUGUUGGGGCGAUGGGAAGAUUUUUUUAACUCUUUUUUAUUUAAAUCAUUGAUAUAUGUUUUUUUGAUCCUUUUUUAGAGAUUAAAAGAUUAAAUUACUUUAGGGAUAACAGCGUAAUUUUUUAAACGGU
rnacentral:rRNA from 1 species